AUUGAACGCUGGCGGCAUGCCUUACACAUGCAAGUCGAACGAACCCUUCGGGGUUAGUGGCGCACGGGUGCGUAACGCGUGGGAAUCUGCCCUUUGCUUCGGAAUAACAGUUAGAAAUGACUGCUAAUACCGGAUGAUGUCUUCGGACCAAAGAUUUAUCGGCAAGGGAUGAGCCCGCGUAGGAUUAGGUAGUUGGUGGGGUAAAGGCCUACCAAGCCGACGAUCCUUAGCUGGUCUGAGAGGAUGAUCAGCCACACUGGGACUGAGACACGGCCCAGACUCCUACGGGAGGCAGCAGUGGGGAAUAUUGGACAAUGGGCGCAAGCCUGAUCCAGCAAUGCCGCGUGAGUGAUGAAGGCCUUCGGGUCGUAAAGCUCUUUUACCAGGGAUGAUAAUGACAGUACCUGGAGAAUAAGCACCGGCUAACUACGUGCCAGCCGCCGCCGUAACAC
rnacentral:rRNA from 1 species